GAUGAAAGGUAGCUGGAUGGAGCUGGGAGAUGGGACACCACACAAUAUUAAACAGUUGAAGAGAAGGAAUCGGGUUAUCUUUUCAGUCAGCUACAAUGGUAAGUUCUACAAGGAUGUGAUGGAGGUGGUGAACGAUCAAAACUUGCCUAUUUCAGUGAUGUUCCUGUAGGUGCAGUGUACUCUAGGGUGGCUCAUUCACAGAAUCAGAAAAGACUUUACAUCAUGACACUUGGAUAUCUGGCACCUUACCAAAGGCUAGGAAUAGGAACUACAAUGUUAAUUCAUGUCUUAAACAUGUGAAAAAGAUGGCACUUUUGACAUCUAUCUGCAUGUCCAGAUCAGCGGUGAGUCGGCAAUUGACUUCUACAGGAAGUUUGGCUUUGAGAUUAUGGAGCCCAAGAAGAACUACUAUAAAACCGCAAAGCCUGCAGAUGAUCAUGUCCUGCAGAAAAACCUCAAAUUACCUUCUGGUCAGAAUGCAGAUGUGGAAAAGACAGACAA
rnacentral:lncRNA from 1 species